UACGUAGGGUGCAAGCGUUGUCCGGAAUUAUUGGGCGUAAAGAGCUCGUAGGCGGUUCAGUAAGUCGGGUGUGAAAACUCUGGGCUUAACCCAGAGCCGCCACUCGAUACUGCUGUGACUUUGAGUUCGGUAGGGGAGCAGGGAAUUCCUAGUGUAGCGGUGAAAUGCGCAGAUAUUAGGAGGAACACCGGUGGCGAAGGCGCUGCUCUGGGCCGAUACUGACGCUGAGGAGCGAAAGCGUGGGUAGCAAACAGG
rnacentral:rRNA from 1 species